UACGUAGGGGGCAAGCGUUGUCCGGAUUUAUUGGGCGUAAAGAGCGUGUAGGCGGCCAUACAGGUCAGCUGUGAAAACUCGAGGCUCAACCUCGAGACGUCGGUUGAAACCGUAUGGCUAGAGUCCGGAAGAGGAGAGUGGAAUUCCCGGUGUAGCGGUGAAAUGCGCAGAUAUCGGGAAGAACACCCGUGGCGAAGGCGGCUCUCUGGGACGGUACUGGACGCUGAGACGCGAAAAGCGUGGGGAGCGAACAGG
rnacentral:rRNA from 1 species